UNUGACUUGAGUGCAGAAGGGGAGAGUGGAAUUCCAUGUGUAGCGGUGAAAUGCGUAGAUAUAUGGAGGAACACCNGUGGCGAAAGCGGCUCUCUGGUCUGUCACUGACGCUGAGGCUCGAAAGCGUGGGUAGCGAACAGGAUUAGAUACCCUGGUAGUNCACGCCGUAAACGAUGAGUGCUAGGUGUUAGGCCCUUUCCGGGGCUUAGUGCCGGAGCUAACGCAAUAAGCACUCCGCCUGGGGAGUACGACCGCAAGGUUGAAACUCAAAGGAAUUGACGGGGGCCCGCACAAGCGGUGGAGCAUGUGGUUUAAUUCGAAGCAACGCGAAGAACCUCACCAGGUCUUGACAUCCCGAUGCUAUUCUUAGAGAUAGGAAGUUACUUCGGUACAUCGGAGACAGGUGGUGCAUGGUUGUCGUCAGCUCGUGUCGUGAGAUGUUGGGUUAAGCCCCGCAACGAGCGCAACCCUUAUUGUUAGUUGCCAUCAUUAAGUUGGGCACUCUAGCGAGACUGCCGGUAAUAAACCGGAGGAAGGUGGGGAUGACGUCAAAUCAUCAUGCCCCUUAUGACCUGGGCUACACACGUGCUACAAUGGUCGGUACAACGAGUUGCGAGCCGGUGACGGCAAGCUAAUCUCUGAAAGCCGAUCUCAGUUCGGAUUGGAGGCUGCAACUCGCCUCCAUGAAGUCGGAAUCGCUAGUAAUCGCGGAUCAGCACGCCGCGGUGAAUACGUUCCCGGGCCUUGUACACACCGCCCGUCACACCACGAGAGUUUGUAACACCCGAAGUCGGUGAGGUAACCUUUUAG
rnacentral:rRNA from 1 species